rnacentral:rRNA from 1 species
GGCUUAACACACGCAAGUCGAGGGGCAUCGGGAGUAGCAAUACUUGCCGGCGACCGGCGCACGGGUGCGUAACACGUAUGUAAUCUGCCCAUCACAGGAGGAUAGCCCGGAGAAAUUCGGAUUAAUACUCCAUAAUAGAUUGAGUAGCAUUACUUGAUUUUGAAAGUUCCGACGGUGAUGGAUGAACAUGCGACUGAUUAGUUAGUUGGUGAGGUAACGGCUCACCAAGACCACGAUCAGUAGGGGUACUGAGAGGUUAAACCCCCACACUGGUACUGAGACACGGACCAGACUCCUACGGGAGGCAGCAGUAAGGAAUAUUGGACAAUGGCCGCAAGGCUGAUCCAGCCAUGCCGCGUGCAGGAAGACGGACCUAUGGUUUGUAAACUGC